rnacentral:rRNA from 1 species
AUACGUAGGGAGCGAGCGUUGUCCGGAAUUACUGGGCGUAAAGGGUGCGUAGGCGGGACGGCAAGUCAGAUGUGAAAUACCGGGGCUCAACCCCGGGGCUGCAUUUGAAACUGUCGUUCUUGAGUGAAGUAGAGGUAAGCGGAAUUCCUGGUGUAGCGGUGAAAUGCGUAGAUAUCAGGAGGAACACCGGUGGCGAAGGCGGCCUGCUGGACGACAACUGACGCUGAGGCGCGAAAGCGUGGGGAGCAAACAGGAUUAGAUACCCUGGUAGUCCACGCUGUAAACGAUGAAUACUAGGUGUGGGGGGACUGACCCCCUCCGUGCCGCAGUUAACACAAUAAGUAUUCCACCUGGGGAGUACGAUCGCAAGAUUGAAACUCAAAUGAAUUGGCGGGG